rnacentral:rRNA from 1 species
UACGUAGGGUGCAAGCGUUGUCCGGAAUUAUUGGGCGUAAAGAGCUUGUAGGCGGUUUGUCGCGUCUGCUGUGAAAUUUCGGGGCUCAACCCCGAACUUGCAGUGGGUACGGGCAGGCUAGAGUGUGGUAGGGGAGACUGGAAUUCCUGGUGUAGCGGUGAAAUGCGCAGAUAUCAGGAGGAACACCGAUGGCGAAGGCAGGUCUCUGGGCCACUACUGACGCUGAGACGCGAAAGCGUGGGGAGCGAACAGG